AGGCUUUUUCUUUGCAUUCUUGAUUGACGGACAACUGCCCCCACAAAAUCCUUACCAUGGUAUCUUCCAUAUCUUUAACUCUGAAACAGUGUCAGAUACAUAUAAGACAACGGGGGAAAGGAGAGAACUUUGCUCUAUGUGUAUCCACACACAUACUAUAUCUUUGCAGAAUAUAUCUUUGCAGAAUUGCAGUGCCCUUUGGAUGGCAGGAUAUCUUUAGAAUGUCAGACAAGAAAUAGCUGCUGCUUAUAUAGGCAUUGUAUAGGCCUGUGAACUGUGCUUUAAGAGGGAGAAGGGAGAGACCUUUUUAGCAUCUGGGUAUUUAUUGCAAAGUCUUAAAAGGUGUCACCUCUAUUGGUUCUGUGUCUGUUUGAAAGGACUGAAACUGGCUUAGAUGGGCUUUUUUGGCUGUUAUUUCUUAAUAGUACUCUGGAGGAAUUCACGGCUAUGACAGCUUUAAUUUAUCAUUUGCUUCUCUUGGGCAUUGAAUCUUUUCCUUGCUAUAGGGAUUUAAUACAUAAGCUGAGGUUGUUGGUAAACAUCAAGCUCUUUUUAUGAUCAUUGCUACAAUCUGCAUUACGAUUUUAAUAGUUGCCUUUUGGUUUGUUCAAUAAAUUUUACUCAACUUAUUCCUAUUUGGGUUUGUCACUAUCUGUUUGAUAUUUAGCCUUUCUUCGGACUUUCGUUUAUUCCUGAAAUAAAAGUCUUUUUAAGUUGUAUUAUUGGCAUUGUCUCUGAUAAGGCCCCGCAGUUUUCAUGUCUUGCUUUUUCCAUGCAGUUAGUUCUAUCUGCAGCUCUUUUAUCGUUUGCUG
rnacentral:misc_RNA from 1 species